rnacentral:rRNA from 1 species
UACGAAGGGGGCUAGCGUUGCUCGGAAUCACUGGGCGUAAAGGGUGCGUAGGCGGGUCUUUAAGUCAGGGGUGAAAUCCUGGAGCUCAACUGCCAGAACUGCCUUUGAUACUGAAGAUCUUGAGUUCGGGAGAGGUGAGUGGAACUGCGAGUGUAGAGGUGAAAUUCGUAGAUAUUCGCAAGAACACCAGUGGCGAAGGGCGGCUC